rnacentral:tRNA from 1 species
GAAAGUAUAGCUCAGUGGUAGAGCACUUGCCUAGCAUGCAAGAGGCCCUAGGCUUGCUCUCC